UACACAGCCACCUCACCCCAGGAUGAGCCAGCUCUGUUACCCUGCCAUUUAAGCCACUGAGAGUGGAAGAUGAUAACCCUCGAGUGUGGAGGAUUCUGAGUCCCUGAGCAUGGAAGACCCUAGGUCUGGAGGACCACAGCUCAGGGGUCGGAAGGACUCCCAGGCUCUGGCACACCGCCCGCCCCGCCCAAUCCGAGCAGAGAGGGCCCCAGGAGAUGGAACACAAGAUGAUGAGUUUUGAUGAGACAGCAGGGCUGGCCCAGACGCUGCCCAGUUUGGCGGAGCAGAGACCUGCAGCCGUGAGUCUCCUGGAGAUGCCCAUUGCGUGCAGAGCUGGGCUGGAGGACACCUGCCUGUGGACCGUGAAACCUCACCCUGGUCUGAACAACGCCCACCUCCAGCUCCAGAAAAUGCUCCGUGGUUCUAGAAAGGCCCUGCCUUGUCUCUGAAAAACACUUUCUCCUUCCCCCCAACAUCUCUGACCCCAGAAGACCCUCCCCACCCUUGGCUCCGAGGAAGCCUGAAGGAGGCUUUGUUCCUGCCUCCGGAAAAUAUUUGGUCUCUGACUUGGGAGGGCUCUUUCUGACAAAUGUAGGAAAAAGUACUUUGUGAAACUAAAAAGCGGCGCCUGGCAUGCGGCAGCUGCUCAAUAAACGUGUGUGGAA
rnacentral:lncRNA from 1 species